rnacentral:rRNA from 1 species
CCACCUUCAUGCGAAGCGUAGGGAUUAUGAGUGGCGAGGACUUAGUCUCGUCUUUUGCGGAGUGUAAACGGCUCCGAGAAUAAGGGUGUGGGCAAACACUGCCCGCAACUUGUUUGUGGCAUGUGACGGUCGUGGGAAGUGGCCUAUGACUGGUGGCAGCCGCCGCGGUAACACCAGCGCCUCGAGUGGUACCCACGAAUAUUGGGCCUAGAGCGUCCGUAGCUGGACUGCCAAGUCCACUGUGAAAUGUUGGGGCUCAACCUCAACGCGUGCAGUGGAUACUGCCGGUCUUGGGAACGGGGGAGGUUCGGGGUACUUUCGGGGUAGGGGUAAAAAUCCGUUGAGCCUGAAAGGACCACCAGUGGCGAAGGCGCCGAACCAAACGUGUCCGACAGUGAGGGACGAAAGCUGGGGGAGCGAACGGGAUUAGAUACCCCGGUAGUCCCAGCUGUAAAUGAUGCAGACUGUGGUGUUGCCCGUAAGUAAUUACGGGCAGUGCUGUAGCGUAGGUGUUAAGUCUGCCGCCUGGGGAGUACGGUCGCAAGACUGAAACUUAAAGGAAUUGGCGGGGGAGCACCACAAGCCGUGGAUGCUACGGUUUAAUUGGAUACAACGCCGGAAAUAUCACCAAGUGCGACGGCAGUAUGAAGGCCAGACCAAAGAUCUUGCCUGACGAGCCGAGAGGUAUUGCAUGGCCAUCGUCAGCUCGUGGUGUGAACUGUCCUGUUAAGUCAGGCAACGAGCGAGACCCAUGUGCUUAGUUACCAACUUCGCCUCCGGGCGAGGUGUACUCUAAGCAGACUGCCCGUGCUAAAUGGGAGGAAGGAGUGGGCGACGGUAGGUCAGUAUGGUCCGAAACACUUGGGCUACACGCGGCAUACAGUGGUCGGAACAAUGGCUGCGACGCCGAGAGGCGGAGCUAAUCCCCGAAAUCCGCCGUGGUUCGGAUUGAGGUUACACUCACGGUCAUGAAGAUGGAAUGCUAUAAACCCGGGCUAUCCCGCGUGACGCCCCUCC